AGAGUUUGAUCCUGGCUCAGGAUGAACGCUAGCUACAGGCUUAACACAUGCAAGUCGAGGGGCAGCAUGAACUUAGCUUGCUAAGUUUGAUGGCGACCGGCGCACGGGUGAGUAACACGUAUCCAACCUGCCGAUGACUCGGGGAUAGCCUUUCGAAAGAAAGAUUAAUACCCGAUGGCAUAGUUCUUCCGCAUGGUGGAACUAUUAAAGAAUUUCGGUCAUCGAUGGGGAUGCGUUCCAUUAGGUUGUUGGCGGGGUAACGGCCCACCAAGCCUUCGAUGGAUAGGGGUUCUGAGAGGAAGGUCCCCCACAUUGGAACUGAGACACGGUCCAAACUCCUACGGGAGGCAGCAGUGAGGAAUAUUGGUCAAUGGACGAGAGUCUGAACCAGCCAAGUAGCGUGAAGGAUGACUGCCCUAUGGGUUGUAAACUUCUUUUAUACGGGAAUAAAGUGAGGCACGUGUGCCUUUUUGUAUGUACCGUAUGAAUAAGGAUCGGCUAACUCCGUGCCAGCAGCCGCGGUAAUACGGAGGAUCCGAGCGUUAUCCGGAUUUAUUGGGUUUAAAGGGAGCGUAGGCGGACGCUUAAGUCAGUUGUGAAAGUUUGCGGCUCAACCGUAAAAUUGCAGUUGAUACUGGGUGUCUUGAGUACAGUAGAGGCAGGCGGAAUUCGUGGUGUAGCGGUGAAAUGCUUAGAUAUCACGAAGAACUCCGAUUGCGAAGGCAGCUUGCUGGACUGUAACUGACGCUGAUGCUCGAAAGUGUGGGUAUCAAACAGGAUUAGAUACCCUGGUAGUCCACACAGUAAACGAUGAAUACUCGCUGUUUGCGAUAUACAGUAAGCGGCCAAGCGAAAGCGUUAAGUAUUCCACCUGGGGAGUACGCCGGCAACGGUGAAACUCAAAGGAAUUGACGGGGGCCCGCACAAGCGGAGGAACAUGUGGUUUAAUUCGAUGAUACGCGAGGAACCUUACCCGGGCUUGAAUUGCAACUGAAUGAUGUGGAGACAUGUCAGCCGCAAGGCAGUUGUGAAGGUGCUGCAUGGUUGUCGUCAGCUCGUGCCGUGAGGUGUCGGCUUAAGUGCCAUAACGAGCGCAACCCUUAUCGAUAGUUACCAUCAGGUUAUGCUGGGGACUCUGUCGAGACUGCCGUCGUAAGAUGUGAGGAAGGUGGGGAUGACGUCAAAUCAGCACGGCCCUUACGUCCGGGGCUACACA
rnacentral:rRNA from 1 species